rnacentral:rRNA from 1 species
GACGAACGCUGGCGGCGUGCUUAACACAUGCAAGUCGAGCGGAAAGGCCACUUCGGUGGUACUCGAGCGGCGAACGGGUGAGUAACACGUGAGUAAUCUGCCCCUCACUUUGGGAUAGCCACCGGAAACGGUGAUUAAUACCGGAUAUGACCAUAUGUCGCAUGGCGUGUGGUGGAAAGUUUUUCGGUGAGGGAUGUGCUCGCGGCCUAUCAGCUUGAUGGUGAGGUAAUGGCUCACCAUGGUUUCGACGGGUAGCCGGCCUGAGAGGGUGACCGGUCACACUGGGACUGAGACACGGCCCAGACUCCUACGGGAGGCAGCAGUGGGGAAUAUUGGACAAUGGGCGGAAGCCUGAUCCAGCAACGCCGCGUGAGGGAUGACGGCCUUCGGGUUGUAAACCUCUUUCAGUACCGACGAAGCGCAAGUGACGGUAGGUACAGAAGAAGCACCGGCCAACUACGUG